rnacentral:rRNA from 1 species
GACGAACGCUGGCGGCGUGCUUAACACAUGCAAGUCGAACGGUAAGGCCCUUCGGGGUACACGAGUGGCGAACGGGUGAGUAACACGUGGGUGAUCUGCCCUGCACUUCGGGAUAAGCCUGGGAAACUGGGUCUAAUACCGGAUAGGACCCUGGGAUGCAUGUCCUGGGGUGGAAAGCUUUUGCGGUGUGGGAUGGGCCCGCGGCCUAUCAGCUUGUUGGGGGGGUGAUGGCCCACCAAGGCGACGACGGGUAGCCGGCCUGAGAGGGUGACCGGCCACACUGGGACUGAGAUACGGCCCAGACUCCUACGGGAGGCAGCAGUGGGGAAUAUUGCACAAUGGGCGCAAGCCUGAUGCAGCGACGCCGCGUGAGGGAUGACGGCCUUCGGGUUGUAAACCUCUUUCAGCACCGACGAAGCGCAAGUGACGGUAGGUGCAGAAGAAGGACCGGCCAACUACGUGCCAGCCGCCGCAGUAA